rnacentral:rRNA from 1 species
GUGAACGCUGGCGGUAGGCCUAACACAUGCAAGUCGAACGGCAGCACAGUAAGAGCUUGCUCUUACGGGUGGCGAGUGGCGGACGGGUGAGGAAUACAUCGGAAUCUACUUUUUCGUGGGGGAUAACGUAGGGAAACUUACGCUAAUACCGCAUACGACCUACGGGUGAAAGCAGGGGAUCUUCGGACCUUGCGCGAUUGAAUGAGCCGAUGUCGGAUUAGCUAGUUGGCGGGGUAAAGGCCUACCAAGGCGACGAUCCGUAGCUGGUCUGAGAGGAUGAUCAGCCACACUGGAACUGAGACACGGUCCAGACUCCUACGGGAGGCAGCAGUGGGGAAUAUUGGACAAAGGGCGCAAGCCUGAUCCAGCCAUACCGCGUGGGUGAAGAAGGCCUUCGGGUUGUAAAGCCCUUUUGUUGGGAAAGAAAAGCAGCAGGUUAAUACCCCGCUGUUCUGACGGUACCCAAAGAAUAAGCACCGGCUAACUUCGUG